CUACACAGCCAUAUCACCCUGCAGCCCAAGACUGGUUACUCACUGAAGCUAAGCAAGGCUGAGCCUGGUUAGUACCUGGAUGGGAGACCACUAGGGAACACUAGGUUGCUGUUGGAA
rnacentral:rRNA from 1 species